AGACAGCUAGGAUGUUGGCUUAGAAGCAGCCAUCAUUUAAAGAAAGCGUAAUAGCUCACUAGUCGAGUCGGCCUGCGCGGAAGAUGUAACGGGGCUAAGUUGUAAACCGAAGCUGCGGCAAUGUUCUUUGAACAUUGGGUAGGGGAGCGUUCUGUAAGCCGUUGAAGGUGUGUUGUAAAGCAUGCUGGAGGUAUCAGAAGUGCGAAUGCUGACAUGAGUAACGACAAGGGGGGUGAAAAACCUCCCCGCCGGAAGACCAAGGGUUCCUGUCCAACGUUAAUCGGGGCAGGGUAAGUCGACCCCUAAGGCGAGGCUGAAAAGCGUAGUCGAUGGGAAACGGGUUAAUAUUCCCGUACUUCUUACAAUUGCGAUGGGGGGACGGAGAAGGCUAGGUGGGCCUGGCGACGGUUGUCCAGGUUCAAGUGCGUAGGCUGAGUGUUUAGGUAAAUCCGGAUACUCUUAAGGCUGAGACACGACGUCGAGCUACUACGGUAGUGAAGUCAUUGAUGCCAUGCUUCCAGGAAAAGCCUCUAAGCUUCAGAUUGUAAGGAAUCGUACCCCAAACCGACACAGGUGGUCGGG
rnacentral:rRNA from 1 species